UCCCCCGGCAGUGGGCAAAGAGACACUUGUUGGUAGUGAUGAUUUUCUGUCAGUCAGGGGCAGAGCAGAUGGCAGUCCUUUGUUCAUUCCAGCUUGAUACCUGGCUCGGUGGCCAAAGCUGUUUUAUGCCUAGGACACAUAA